rnacentral:rRNA from 1 species
GACGAACGCUGGCGGCGUGCUUAACACAUGCAAGUCGAACGGAGUGGCGAACGGGUGAGUAACACGUGGGUGAUCUGCCUUGCACUUCGGGAUAAGCUUGGGAAACUGGGUCUAAUACCGGAUAGUGCAAGAUGAGCUCGCGGCCUAUCAGCUUGUUGGUGGGGUAAUGGCCUACCAAGGCGUCGACGGGUAGCCGGCAUGGGAGGGUGUACGGCCCCAUGGGGACUGAGAUACGGCCCAGACUCCAACGGGGGGCAGUAGGGGGGAAUAUUGCACAAUGGGCGGAAGUGUGAGGAAGCGACGCGGCGUGGGGGAUGAAGGCCUUCGGGUUGUAAACUCCUUUCGACAGGGACGCGGUACCUGUAGAAGAAGCACCGGCUAACUACGUGCCAGCAGCCGCGGUAAUUC